rnacentral:rRNA from 1 species
AUGGCCGAUCCAAGCUUCUUCGUCGGAAUCGUUGGGAACAUAAUCUCCAUACUCGUCUUCACAUCUCCAAUUGCGACCUUCCGGAGGGUCGUGCGGAACAAGAGCACGGAGGAGUUCCGGUGGCUGCCGUACGUCACCACCCUCCUCUGCACCUCCCUCUGGGCCUUCUAUGGCCUCCUCAAGCCCAGCGGCCUCCUCAUCAUCACCGUCAACGCCGCCGGCGCCGCUCUACAGGCCACCUACGUCGCCCUCUACCUCGCCUAUGCCCCCAGGGACACCAAGGUGAAGAUGGCGAAGGUGGUGGUGGGCGUGAACAUCUGCUUCUUUGCCGCGGUCGUCGUGGUGGGGCUGGUGGCGCUGCACGGCGCCGUCCGGCUGUUCGCGGUGGGGGUUCUCUGCUCCGCUCUCACCAUCGCAAUGUAUGCUGCACCCAUGGCCGCAAUGAGGACAGUGGUGAAGACCCGGAGCGUGGAGUACAUGCCCUUCUCCCUGUCCUUCUUCCUCUUCCUCAACGGCGGCAUCUGGAGCGUCUACUCCCUGCUCGUUAAGGACUACUUCAUCGGGAUCCCCAAUGCCAUGGGUUUUGUGAUGGGCACGGCGCAGCUGGCGCUCUACAUGGCGUACCAGAACAAGAAGAAGCUCGCGGCGCUCAAGGAGGAGGACGAGGAGAAAGGGGUGGUGCACCUGAUGGGCCAGGUAGAGUUGGGCCAGGCCAAGGUCCCGUCGUUGAAGAAGGGGUUGAGCCUGCCGAUGCCCUCGUCCCUGCCGUCGCCGUUGCACGGGUUUGGCAACCUCAUCAAGGCCUUGUCCGCCACCCCCUUGGAGCUGCAGUCUGUCUUGAACCAGCACGAGCGCGUCGGUGACGACGACGACGACGGGCAUGCCUACUCGUCCAAGUGA